UUGAAUAUUGUUUGUGUUUUUCAGGAAUAUAAAAACAUUUUAAGAUUAAUUAAUAAUUUAUGGAUUUCUGUAAUAACGAACUCUUUUAAAAUGGGUCAGGGUUGUUCGUGUAAUGAAACUUGGUGUAGUUUGAUGUCAAAAUUACAAUCAUCCGCCGAAGAGAGGAAAAAUAAUAGACGAGUUUGUAACAGUCACAGACCGAGAUGUUUAAGAUUUAGACGUCGUCUUCAUAAAGGAAAAUGCAAUUGUAAAUCAAAAUGCGACCAAGAGACAUCGACCAAUGUUCGCUCGGAUUGUGAUCAAUCUUUGAAAGAAUCACGUAAAAAGCCUUGCCAAGUCCAUUUCUGUAAGGCCUCCGGAGAACCGCCUAAUAAAUGUUGCUCGCAGAAAAGUCCACAAAAUUUGAGAUCGAAAAAUAUCUGUCGGUUCACUGUCGAUGCUUAUUUUAAUUAAAAUAUAUUAUUUACGGUUUCUUUA